AACUGGUCGAGACAGACGACCACCCACCUAGAGCCGAAGGAUCUGUCCUAGGUUUCUGCCUUUUAACAGGCAGUUUUUCCUUGCCCUUGUCGCCAAGUGCUUGCUCAUGGUGGUACUGUUGGGUCUCUGUAAUUAAUGUUAAAGAGUUCGGUCUAGACCUCUAUUUGAAAAGUGUCCUGAGAUAACUUCUGUUAUGAAUUGGCGCUAUACAAAUAAAAUUGAAUUGAAAGGAGUGGCUUCAGAACAACUCUGUGACCAUUCUUGACUGGCCCAGCCAGAGCCCUGACCUAAACCCAAUUGAGCAUCUCUGGAGAGACCUUAAAAAUGGCUGUCCACCAACGUUCACCAUCCAACCUGACAGAACUGGAGAGGAUCUGCAAGGAAGAAUGGCAGAGGAUCCCCAAAUCCAGAAGGGCUCGUGAAAUUCGACUCUGCAGCCACUGAAGAGUACAUCAUGGUCUACGUGUCCAAGCACCUCAAGCACGCACCGCAAAGAUGUGGAGGUGGAGGAUUCACUACACCCUGAUGAGCCAAGCCUAUAGGACAAGAGUUCAAUUCAAUUAUUGUGUUCAAUAUUAUUAUUUUUGAAUAAAGAUGGAAAUGGUGGUA